UUAUCUUAUCUCUUACCAAAUGAAAGCCACAUUAAAUAUCCAAGUAGAACGCAAUAUGCUUUGCACCUAUAUAAUCCCCGAAAGCCCAGAAGUAGCAUGCUCCAUGAUUCAUGCUACAUGCUACUAAACCCCACUAAGGCACCAAAUUAGCCUUCUAUUCUUUAGGCGGUCUGCUUCAUGCUGAUUUUCCAUACCAUAAAUUACGUUUUCUCUUCCUCCUUUUAAUGGAAUAAUCAUUCUGCCCUUAUUCUACACUUUAACAGUGUUUCAUUAGUUUGUUUAACUUAGUAUUUAUUUGUUGGAAUCACCAAUUCCUUUUUGUUAAGGGAAUUUCUGAAUUCUUCCACAAAAGUUUUUGAAUAUCUAUAUUGAAUAAAGUCGGGAGAAAAAACUCUCAUUGAUGUUCAAUAUCGAUCUUUAUUGAAAAUUCAGUCAUCUAUCAGACCACAUUUUGAAAACUUACUUUCGAGAGAGCUAGAAAUUCCCUCAAACACUUUUCUAUUCCUUAAACGGCUGUGAUAGUCAUCUCAAUUCCACCCACAGCAGUAACACACCAAAAACAUGACCAUGUCUACGUCUUUCGACCAACCUUUGAGGUCAUCCGCCUCUGCAAAUAAAACGGUGAUUAGUUCGCCGGUGACAAAAAUCAACAAAAAUAAGAAUUCGUAAAACACAACAGUAGACAGAAGAAUCCCAAAAUUCCCUCUAGUUUUUGGUUAGAGGGACUAAAGAUGGGGAACAACAAACUAAAGAUAUCAAUAGGUGAAUAUUCAAAGAGAGAAAGAGAGGAUGAGCGUCAGAAGGAUGGACGAAGAGAGAAAGUGAGAAAUUCUGGUAGAUAUGUCCUAUAGUGAAGAACCAAUUAGAAUUGUAGCUCGAGAAGUCAAAUAAUAAACGAAUAGCUCUGGUUAAAGUUUUCUAGCAUCGUCAUGGGGUCGAGGAAACUACCUGGGAACGAGAAGAAGCUAUGAAAGUGCAAUACCUAAACCUAUUUUCUGGUAAGAUUUUCAGGGACGAAAAUUCCUUUAGGGGGAGAGUUGUAAUGACCCAUUUAUAGUGGUGUUAAAAGCAAUGGUCUCGGGACCACGAUUUCGACAAGAGAGUAAAUAUUUUAUUAAUUAUUUAAAGCUUACGAGUGUUUAUUAAGGUAUUAUUAAAUUUUUGUUAAGAAAUUUUGAAGUUUAAACUAUUAAUUAGGUAAAAAAGAACUAAAUUGAAAAAGGUGCAAAAGUCUUCUUCUGUUAGUUAAGUGGAUUAAAUAGCUUUAACAAGGUGAGUUAAUGGACUUAUUUAGUAAUUAUGUUGUAUAUGUUUAUAGUGGACAAAUAUGGACAUGUUUAUGCUAGUAUUUAAGUUAUAUUAUCGGGCAAAAGAGUAAUUAAUCAAAUAAUCAUGAAAUAAAUAAAACAAAAGCUGUCAUGUUCUUUCUCUUUUCUUGUUUAACUAUAAACACCAUUGAAGGGGGGAGAAAAGCUUCAUUUUUCUUAAUUCACUUGCAUGGUAUGUAUUCAAGUCCCGUUUUUAGUAAUUUUUAUAUUUUUGAGCUUUUUUUAGCUUAAACUACUUAGCUCGAGGAUUAAUUUGCAAAGUGUUAAAGGUUAAAGGAAAUGUUAGGAAUGAAAUUGAUGAAUUUGUGAUGUUAAUUGAUAGGUUAUUACAUUUGGUUGUUAAAUAAAUUUAUUUUGUUAAGUGAUUUUUUAUAAAUUUAGUGUUAAAGAUUAAUUUGCUAAAAGUGUAAAAUUCCUUGAAAUUAUUUUGGGUAAAUAUGGGCUGAUUAGGUACUCUAGAAGAAUCAGUUAACACAUGUUGUCUAUGAAAAUAGUGAAUUUGCAAGUUAUGGUUAUAAUGACUAAGUUGUAAAAAAAUUAAAAUAGGAGGGGUAAUUUUGUAAUCUCAUGAUAAUAUGAAUUAUAGAUUGAAUUGAAUAUUUGAGGUUAUUUGAAGUACUUAAUUGAAUGAAGGUAUCUAUUUAGAUCAAAAGAAACCACAACUGGAUUUAAAUCGAGAAAACGCAAAAGCUUUGGAUUAGUCUCCAACUCUACCUUUGCGACUAUAGUUACCAACGCAAGUUCGUAUGAAUAUAAUUUUAUUAAUGAUAUUUUAAUUGAUUAUUUGUUAUAUUAUAUUAGUUAUAAAUUGACUUGAAUAUAUAAAUAUAUUGACAUUUUGAAUAAUUGACGGAUAAAUAAUCCCGUUUGAACCUUAAGAAUUCGUAGGAUUUGAAUGACAUGUCAUUAAGAAUUUCAUGUUUCGGGUACUGGUCUUGAAUGUACUACCAAUGACUAAGGUCCUGCAUUUGUUGUGAAUUCUCCACAGCUCGUGUGAGCAGUAUCAUGUAGCUAAAAUUCUGACCCACAGCUGGUGUGAGCAGGCCCAUUUCACUGCUCGUGUGAGCACUAUUGAAAAUGAAAUGUUACGAUUAUAUGGAAAGGCACACUAUAUGUGAGCAUUCCCGAGUAUCCAAUAAAUUUCUAGAUGGUUCACAGGUAAGUAAAGGUUAAUGGCAAGGCAUGUAUUCAAAUGGAUAAUUAUUCAUAAUCUUAUAAAAGGUAAAUUUGAUGAAUGGUAUGUACAUGGAAAUUUACUUAUGAUAUGGUUGAACUUAUAUGUAUUAUGUAUUAACUUGCUAACUUGUGAGUUUGGUGGUGUAUAUAGGAGUUUAUUUAGCUUAUGAUCAUGGUAAUGAUGUUAUUCAUAUUUUAUAUAUUGAGCUUAAGAAGGGUAAGUUAUAUUUGAAUUUAUACGAGCUUACUAAGCACUAGUUGCUUACGUAGUUAUUUUCCUUUGUUUCGUAGAUUAUCGGAAGCUUGAUCGGCUGGAAGCUUGUCAGAGUUCUAUCAACACUAUCCAGUAAUCUCUUUGGUAGUUCUUGAGUUAUUUUGGCCAAGGUUAUAAAUGGUAUAUUGGUUAGGAGAAAUAGGUUGAUUGAAUUGGUAGAUUUAUAUGUGUUUGAAGUGUGUUUAGGUUUAUUGAAGGUAUGUACUAAUGAAGUAGAUUUUUGGGCAAGUUGUGGGCUUUAAAUGGCUUGUUUUUGGGGGUUUGGGUGCCGAUUUUGGAGGAAGAAUUAAGAGAAAAAAAUUAAAAUUUGGGAGAAGAAUGGAAGGGGUGAGGGCGGCACAAAAAGAAGAUUGAGUAGAGGGAAUGAUUGUUGAUGAAAUAAGUGUGAAAAAGGGGUGUAUUUAUAGGGAUGGUGGGGGUUUAAGAGAUAGCAACAAAAAUUUAAAAGACUUUUUCAAAAUUAAUUACUAAAAGAUAAUCAAAAUUAAAAAUAUUAAAAUAAUUUAUAUUUAUCAAUUAAAUAAAUAAAAUUAAUUCGACUCAAUAAUUAUCUCUAGCAAGAAAAUCCAAUUAAAAGAUAUAAUUAAUUGAUAAUUAAAUUAAAUCAUUUGAAUAAAAGAAAUUUCUUUGUGGUCCAAAAUUGACCAUUUAUUUUGCAAACUCCCAAAUGGGUUACUUAGAAAAUAUUUCUUAGAAAUUAUAACAAAAUUAAUUCCAAGGAAAUAUUGGAGGGGUCACAAUUUGGUCCCUCUUAAAAUCCAACCUUCUUGAUAGAAAUUUUUUCUAUUAUAUUUAUCUUCAAAAUAUUGUCUAAGUAGUUUAUUUUUAAAGAAAAAUUUAACACUUAUUGUUUGAUUAAACUUACUGAGAUUUUAUUGUGCUCAACUUUACUGUUUCCAUAGUGUUUAAGGCGCUGGCCAUUUACCUUGAAUAAUCCCCCUUUCUAUUGUGCAACUCUACAACUCCGUAUGGAUAGACUUGGUGAAUCAGGUAGGGCCUAGAGCAUCGAGAUUUAAGUUUUCAAGGGAACAAUUUCAUCCUAAAGUUAAACAACAAGGCUCUCUGGCCUGCUUUGAAUUCUCAAUACUAAAUGUGCUUGUCAUGACAUCAUUUUAUUUUCUCUUUCCAAAUCAUGGCAUUCUCUUACGAGAACAUUUUUGAUUCUUCCAAUUCAGCUAACUGAAGUUUUCGUUUGUCUCUAGCAAGAUUCAUGUUCAUUGAGUUGCUUUAGAGCCUAGUAAACUCUAUGUUCAAGCUCCAAAGGAAGAUGGUAGGUUUUUCCAAACACUAAACGGUAUGAAGAUAUCCCCAACAGAGUUUUAAAGGUCGUUCGAUAAGCCCAUAGCGCACCGUCGAGUUUCCUUGACCAAUUUUUUUGUUAGGUCUUACCACCUUUUCAAGAAUGUUCUUUAUUUCUUUAUUUUCCAACUCAGCUUGCCUAUUUUUCUAUGGAUGGUAAGUUGUAGCAAUAUUUUUCUUGACAUCAUAUUUGUCCAAUAAUCACUUAAGUCAUUUAUUCACAAA